rnacentral:rRNA from 1 species
ACAUGCCUACAACAUAGCAUUAAUGCAACAAAUCCCAUUAGAACUCCGUUGUUAAGCAUGCUUAGGCUAGAGUAGUACUGGGAUGGGUUAAUGCUAGUUACCCCAUUC